GGAUCAAUUUAUUGGUCGUGCUAUUGUACGUACUGGUAUUAUUGAUUCCUACCUUCUGAUGAAUCACGAUGUCAUUAAUUUGGUGUCAUGGGGAAUCAGGACUGUUACUUUGAAAAAAUUAGAGUGUUUAAAGCAGGCUUACGCUUGAAUACAUUAGCAUGGAAUAAUGAAAUAGGACGUUUAAUUCUAUUUUGUUGGUUUCUAGGAUUGACGUA
rnacentral:rRNA from 1 species